AUCCAGCUGACGAGUCCCAAAUAGGACGACGAAACGUGCGUCCUGGAU
rnacentral:hammerhead_ribozyme from 1 species